GUAGGCGUGGCUAACCGCCAACGCGGAAGUGCCUCUCUUUUCUCGAUCCGUACUCCUCAUUGUACUGUCGGAGUGCGGAAACAAAAACACCUUCUUCUUUUUGUCUUCGUGGCAGCUCGUGUACGUUUUUUCUUCUGGGCGCGAUGUUCUCCAAGAGGUUGAUGACGUGUCUGCGACCGUGCGCGUCCUUGACGAGCAGAAGACUUCUGUGCGCGGAGGCAAAGGGAACCGCGCCAGACAUGGCGGAAGGAAAUCCUCUGUUGCACGUGUCAAACGUGCGAAAGAGGCUGAGAGAGAUUGUGGGCGCUUCCACCAACUGGAGCGACCACCGGCAGGCCAUGUCGGAACGCGUGUCGCUAUCGUCCACGUUGGCCCGGUCGCAGAGCGAGCUCCCGGCCAGGAGCAUGAAGGACAGCCUCGUGGAGGUCCACCUCCCUCUGGGCUCCCAGCCGCAGCUGCGAGAGAAGUACCUCACCUUCCACAACACCGUCAGGUUUGGGCGCAUCCUGGAGGACUUGGACAGUUUAGCAGUGCUCAUCUCAUACGCACACACUUACAAUCCCGCCCUGAAGAGGUCGCCGUUGUCUAUUGUCACCGCCCUGGUGGACAAAAUAGACAUGAGGCAGCAGGCGAUCUAUCCCGGCUGCGACAUCAAGUUCACGGGUCACGUGACCUGGGUGGGCAAGACCUCCAUCGAAGCCAAGAUGCACAUGACGCAGUAUCGCAAUGGAGCUUAUUCUCCGGUUCUGGACGCCACGUUUGUCAUGGUGGCUCGUGAUCCGGAAAACAAGAGAGCGGCUUUUGUGAAUCCCCUGAGUCCGGAAGGUCCAGAGGAGGAGGAACUCUUCAGGCAGGGAGAAGGUAGGCGAGGACGCGUCGCACGAGACGCGGGUCGCGACCCGUCACCUCUAUCGUGCGUGUGCGCGCUGUGCAGUGAACAAGUCCCGUCGGGUGGAGCUCAGCACCGCGUCCCUCCUGAAGGUGGCGCCCACGGCCGAGGAGAGGAACAUCGUCCACGGCCUCUUCCUCAACACGCUCGACGCCAAGUAAGAGGUCGCUCGCUCGCGUGGACCUCCGCCACGCGACUCGCUCGCUCUGCGCGUUGUCUACGCUGUCGUCGUGGUUUGUGUGUGCGGUGCAGGACGGUGAGCUUCCGCGGUCGACUGUUGCCUCCCGACUCCGUUUGGAUGGAAGACGCCAAACUGAAAGGGUUGGAGAUCUGCCACCCGCAGGUCAACACAUCAGGGGAGCCGUUGGGAUGGAACCCUUCGACCCCAGCACGUCGACACUGUGUGUGUGUGUGUGUGUGUGUUCCAGGAGAGGAACAUCUUCAACAGGAUCUUUGGAGGCUUCCUGAUGAGGAAGGCGUACGAGCUGGGCUGGGCCAACGCCUGCGCUUUCGGGGGCGGUCGGCCCGGCCUGGUGGCCGUGGACGACAUUCUCUUCCAGAAACCCGUGGAGAUCGGAUCCUUGUUGCUGCUCUCGUCGCAGGUGUGUUACACGGAGGGCAAGCACAUCCAGGUCAGAGUUCACAGCGAGGUCUUUGACCCGCUGACCCGCCAGCACAACACCACCAACGUCUUCCACUUCACCUUCGCGUCCGACCGCCACGUCCCCAACGUCGUCCCGCGGACGUACGGAGAGUCCAUGUUGUAUCUGGAUGGGAAACGCCACUUUAACCACACGGUGGAGUACUGACGGCGACCGCACCAAAACGUCUUUGUGUGUGUAUGAUCCAAGACACGCACAAGGUCAUGUGUGUGUGUGUGAUGUUCACGAGUGUGUCUCAACGGAAACAUGUUCGACAUCCAAGUUGUGUUACUGUGUCCUGUGUGAGGAUGUCACACACCUCAUACACGCCAAUAAAGAUCGUUGUUACUUUUAUUCAUCAUCCCGUCACGGAAAUGAAGUACAGCGGAAGCGAAAUCCAACAGACGAAUAGGAGGGGAGGGGUCAUGUGUUCAAUCCGAUUGGCCGUUAAGUCGAAGUGUCCCCAAAAAAAACAGUACACAACAAAAUGAAUGUUGAAAAACGUUUGGAAAGUUUGAAAGUUGCUCCCAACUUAUCUGACUGCUGAAUGAAAGAAAGGCGCGAUGGCGAGUGCCCACCGAAAUCCGGAGUCUGUCACAUCGGGGUCCGUUGCAACAUCUUAUCAUAUCCCGAGUGAUUUCGCGCAUCUUGUACGAUACUACAGUAUAUCGAAUCUCGUUACUCCUUUUACUUUACUCAGUUAUGAGCGUCACUGCUGUUUUUUUCUCCCUUGGCCUUUUGACGCAAUAAAUACAUUUUUAUUUCAAUGGA